rnacentral:rRNA from 1 species
UACGUAGGGCGCAAGCGUUGUCCGGAAUUAUUGGGCGUAAAGAGCUCGUAGGCGGCCUGUUGCGUCCGCUGUGAAAUCCCGGGGCUCAACCCCGGGCCUGCAGUGGAUACGGGCAGACUGGAGUGCGGUAGGGGAGAAUGGAAUUCCUGAUGUAGCGGUGGAAUGCGCAAAUAUCAGGAGGAACACCGAUGGCGAAGGCAGUUCUCUGGGCCGUAACUGACGCUGAGGAGCGAAAGCGUGGGGAGCGAACAGG